CCGCCCUCAGAGCUCACACCCGCCGUGCGCUCUCGCCCCGGGGCCGCCCCGCCGACCUCCCGCGCGGCUCUGCGCGCACAGGCCGGACGCUCGGAGCCGGCGCCGGGCCGCCCUGCUCGGCCUCCUGGGCGCAGCGGCGCCUCUGGACCGAGCACGCGCACCAGCGGCCUCCGCUCAGGCUCCGUGCCCGCGCACGCGCCCUCGCGUCGCGCUCCUGGCUGAGAGACCUGCGCUCGGGCUGGGCUCCGGGCGGUUCUCGCGUUGUCGUUCCACCGGGACUUCCGCGCUUCGGUGGCCUUUCGGACGAGCCGCCGCGCCCAGAGAUGUUCAGGUUGGAGCGACACUUCCCAGACGGCAGCGGUCACGCCAGCUCUUUGGCUUCCAUUCCGUUUUCGCGCGGUUCUCCCUCUUCGCAAGGAGUGAAAUCAUAGAGUAUUCCUUUCUCUGUCUUACUUGUUUGGCUCAGGAUCCAUCCAUGUUGUCUCAAAUGGGAUGAGUUUGUCUGUUUUUAUGGGUGAGUAGUAUUCCAUUGUAUAUAUAUACGACACCUUCUUCUCCAUUUGUCCCUUGAUGGGCAUCUAGGUUGCUUCCACAUCUUGCCUAUUGUGAAUAAUGCUGUGGUGAGCAUACGGGUGCAUAUAUCUUUUUGAAUUAGUGAUUUCAUGUUUCUUU
rnacentral:lncRNA from 1 species